rnacentral:lncRNA from 1 species
UUGACUUCACAUUCCAGGAUGUCUGGCUCUCGGUGAGUGAUCACACCAUUUGUGAUUAUCUGGGUCAUGAAGAUCUUUUUUGUACAGUUCUUCUGGAGAAAGUAAUAAAAUAUCAUUAACAUAAAUAUAUUUUAUAAUUACAGUAAUAAAAUAAUAUAGUUUCUCGCCUGGGAAGUGCUUGCUCCUUGGAGAGUUUGAGAAGGAAAGAGGAAAAAAUGUUUGUGAUCUAGAAACACCUGUCAAACAAGGCACUUGGCAGUUCCCAGGCAUUCAUUAGGCUGAGCGCUGCCGGGGAGAGGGAGCAGAAGCCGCAGAGGCAGCCAGGGCAGCGGAGACAGCAAGAGGCUCCAAGGCUGCCGGUCUGGCCAGCUGUGGGCUUGCCCCCAACUCGCGGUGUGACCCUGCCUAUCAGCAUCUGCUUCCUAAACCUGAGAUUCAGGCCAGCUUUGGAGUCAUGGAUCUCCAGAACACCUGGGCUCAAUUUUUAUCUUUGCUGCUGAUUAGCAUGACGACCUUGAGCAAGCUACUACACCUCUCUGUGCCUCAGUUUCCUCAUCUGUAAAAUGGGGAUAGUGAUAGCCAUCCGUCUCAUAGGUCAUGUAAUGAUCACAUACAUUAACACAUACAAGAAUCAGUGGACACACCUGCGUUAUCCUUUUGGAUGGCAGUGCUUCUGGGCGGCGGCGUCAUUUACUCCACCUUCUGUGAUCAAUACAUGCGAUGCUGUUUCCUUUUUUGUUUUUUAACCACUAUAAACGAUACUCAUUAAAUAUUUUGCACAAACAAUUUUGCUAACAAGUAUGGCAUUGAUUCUUAGCAGCAAUCGUGCAUUAGGUUCCCCUAAUAGGGAUAAAUUAGGAAUUUGGCAUUAACAGAUAGAUACACACUAUUCCAUACAAAAUAGAUAAGCAACAAGGGCCCAGCUGUGUAGCACAGGCAACUACAUUCAAUAUCCUGUAAUAGCUGAUAAUGGGAAAGAAUCUGAAAAAGUGUAUAUAUGUUUAUAUAUAUAACCGAAUCAUUGCUAUCCCUGUGAAACUAACACAACACUGUAAAUCAACUAUACAUCAAUUCUAAAAUGUAGGAAAAGAAACCCUGGGUUAUUUUUGCCUAUUCACUCAUUUAUUCAAGACAUCCUGAAUGCCUGUGGCAUGCCGAGCGCUCCCCAGGCACUGGGGAAGGCCAAGGCAGCAGAAGGUAGCCGACAAUAAACAAAGU